AUUGAACGCUGGCGGCAGGCCUAACACAUGCAAGUCGAACGGUAACAGGAAGCAGCUUGCUGCUUUGCUGACGAGUGGCGGACGGGUGAGUAAUGUCUGGGAAACUGCCUGAUGGAGGGGGAUAACUACUGGAAACGGUAGCUAAUACCGCAUAACGUCGCAAGACCAAAGAGGGGGACCUUCGGGCCUCUUGCCAUCGGAUGUGCCCAGAUGGGAUUAGCUAGUAGGUGGGGUAACGGCUCACCUAGGCGACGAUCCCUAGCUGGUCUGAGAGGAUGACCAGCCACACUGGAACUGAGACACGGUCCAGACUCCUACGGGAGGCAGCAGUGGGGAAUAUUGCACAAUGGGCGCAAGCCUGAUGCAGCCAUGCCGCGUGUAUGAAGAAGGCCUUCGGGUUGUAAAGUACUUUCAGCGGGGAGGAAGGGAGUAAAGUUAAUACCUUUGCUCA
rnacentral:rRNA from 1 species